CUACGGGUCGCUGCAGUGGGGAAUAUUGCACAAUGGGCGCAAGCCUGAUGCAGCCAUGCCGCGUGUAUGAAGAAGGCCUUCGGGUUGUAAAGUACUUUCAGCGGGGAGGAAGGGAGUAAAGUUAAUACCUUUGCUCAUUGACGUUACCCGCAGAAGAAGCACCGGCUAACUCCGUGCCAGCAGCCGCGGUAAUACGGAGGGUGCAAGCGUUAAUCGGAAUUACUGGGCGUAAAGCGCACGCAGGCGGGUUGUUAAGUCAGAUGUGAAAUCCCCGGGCUCAACCUGGGAACUGCAUCUGAUACUGGCAAGCUUGAGUCUCGUAGAGGGGGGUAGAAUUCCAGGUGUAGCGGUGAAAUGCGUAGAGAUCUGGAGGAAUACCGGUGGCGAAGGCGGUCCCCUGGACGAAGACUGACGCUCAGGUGCGAAAGCGUGGGGAGCAAACAGGAUUAGAUACCCCCGUAGUC
rnacentral:rRNA from 1 species